rnacentral:hammerhead_ribozyme from 1 species
AUCCAACUUACGAGUCUCAAAUAGGACGAAACGCACGUCCUGGAU